AAGUCACAAAUUUGGCCCGUCGCUGCUACACGGUAAAGCCACAAAUUUGGCCCGUCGUUGCUACACGGUAAAGCCACAAAUUUGGCCCGUCGCUGCUACACGGUAAAGCCACAAAUUUGGCCCAUCGCUGCUACACGGUUAAAACCAUUUCAGUGUAUUCAAAUUCGCAGUCAUAUUUCUUGUAAUUUGAAGUUCAGGUUGAGAAUCCCUUAUCUGAAAUCCCUGGGUCGAAGCAUGUUGUGGAUUUUGGAUCAUUUUUGGAUUUUGUAAUAUUCCAGCCCUUUUGACAUUUUGAACAGUAUCCCUUGACCACAGGGCACACAACAGACAGCUCUACAAUAGUUUAGUCAGACCCCACUUGGAAUAUACAGUACAGUUUUGGUCUCCCCACCAUGCGAAGGACAUUGCUAAAUUAGAAGGUGUUCAGCGUCGGGCAACAAAAAUGAUCCCUUCCUUGCACAACAAAUCCUACGAAGAAAGGCUUUGGAAUUUCAGAUAAAGGAUUCUUAACUUGUAUUGGUAUUAAUAUUUGAAUACACAGCUCUGGUAUUCACUCCAAUCCUGGUGUAAAGUUGUAAGAUAAAAUGUCACAGGUCUUCAGCUACUUAGACCUAACUGAUGUGAGUGUCUUAUGCAAACUUAACAGGAAAAAACUACUUAAUUGACCAAAACAGACAGACUUAGGAUAGAUCUGAGAGAGAGAUUAUCCAGACCGAUUUAGACCAAAACCCUGACUUUAAACAACCUGAUUAAGACCUUACCUUAACUUACCUUGCCUUACCUUACCUAACCUUGCCUUGCCUUACCUCACCUUACCUUACCUUACCAUACCUUACCUUACCAAACAGACAGACUUAGGAUAGAUCUGAAAGAGAGAUUAUCCAGACCGAUUUAGACCAAAACCCUGACUUUACACAACCUGAUUAAGACCUUACCUUACCUUACCUUGCCUUACCUUGCCUUACCAAACCUUACCUUACCUUACCUUACCUUACCUUACCUUACCUAACCAUACCUUACCUUACCUUACCUUAC